rnacentral:rRNA from 1 species
GCUACGCUGGGGGAGGGAGCGGGGGGAAGAGGGAGGGGGGGGGGGUGGGUCGGAAUUGCUGUGCGGAAGGGGGUGGGAGGGGGCUUCGGCAGGCGGGGGUGAAAGCCCGGGGCUCAACCCCGGAACGGCACCCGAUACUCCGGGGCGCGGGACCGGGAGAGGAGGGUGGAAUACCCAGUGUAGAGGUGAAAUUCGUAGAUAUUGGGGGGAACACCGGUGGCGAAAGCGGCUCUCUGGCCCGGAUCUGACGCUGAGGCGCGAAAGCGUGGGGAGCAAACAGGAUUAGAUACCCCAGUAGUC